GCACACAUGUUUCAGUUUUAUUAUUAUAUUGACGCAUAUUAAAGCUAUCGCUUGUUGUAUAUUUACUUUUAAGUACGAUGACGUGAGAAAAAAUGCAUUAAACAUUCCGUUUUGUCAAGACACAUUUCAUGUUCGUUACUUCGUACAUUUACCACUACACCAGGAUUGGAACUUAAAUGAAUCAUCCCAAAUGCUAUGUUCAGAAACACUGAAGUACCAUGGCUGAACCAGAUCCGGUAACAGAGAAAGAAAGUACAACAGUACACGACUGUGAUUGUCAUAAGCUGUAUGCCACGGAUGUCCCUGGGGCUGUUUUACCGCAACCUCAACCAGAAAGAUGCAAAGUUGCAGAGUUGUGAAUAUGGUUGAAAUGCCGGGGACAAGCUGUGAAAUUGAAGGAGACAAAAGCCGAACUUUGCUUGAGGGUAAAGAAAUUCAGUGACAACCAGGAUAACAUUCUAAUUGUGGAUCCUUAUCCAGACCAGCCAUUCGCAGCUAAGAAGAAGUCGUCCUGUAUGAACUGUAAAGGACAAUCGACAGUGUCGUACAGCAGAAGAACAUUUUAAUUUGGAAGAAUGCACAUGGACCCAAAGCACCAGACCAAUC